GCCACAGUGGUCAAUCGGUUAGAACGCUGGCCUUGUAAUCCUGGGGUCUCGGGUUCGAUUCCCGGCGGUGCCC
rnacentral:tRNA from 1 species